rnacentral:rRNA from 1 species
GACAGAGGGGGCAAGCGUUGUUCGGAAUUACUGGGCGUAAAGGGCGCGUAGGCGGCCCGCUAAGUCGAACGUGAAAUCCCCGAGCUCAACUCGGGAACUGCGUCCGAUACUGGUGGGCUUGAAUCCGGGAGAGGGAUGCGGAAUUCCAGGUGUAGCGGUGAAAUGCGUAGAUAUCUGGAGGAACACCGGUGGCGAAGGCGGCAUCCUGGACCGGCAUUGACGCUGAGGCGCGAAAGCCAGGGGAGCAAACGGG